UUGGAGGGCAAGUCUGGUGCCAGCAGCCGCGGUAAUUCCAGCUCCAAUAGCGUAUAUUAAAGUUGUUGCAGUUAAAAAGCUCGUAGUUGAAUUUCGAGACCGGUUUAUUGGUCGUGCUUUUGUACGUACUGGUAUUAUUGGUUUCUCCUUUCUGACGAACUAUAAUGCCAUUAAUUUGGUGUUAUGGGGAAUCAGGACUGUUACUUUGAAAAAAUUAGAGUGUUUAAAGCAGGCUCACGCUUGAAUACAUUAGCAUGGAAUAACGGAAUAGGACGUUUGAUUCUAUUUUGUUGGUUUCUAGGAUCGACGUAAUGAUUAAUAGGGAUAGUUGGGGGCAUUAGUAUUCAAUUGUCAGAGGUGAAAUUCUUGGAUUUAUUGAAGACUAACUACUGCGAAAGCAUUUGCCAAGGAUGUUUUCAUUAAUCAAGAACGAAAGUUAGGGGAUCGAAGACGAUCAGAUACCGUCGUAGUCUUAACCAUAAACUAUGCCGACUAGGGAUCGGAUGAUGUUAAUUUUUUAAUGACUCAUUCGGCGCCUUACGGGAAAC
rnacentral:rRNA from 1 species